AAAAACAGAAUAGAGAAGUGCACAGGAUAAGCAAAUAUGGGGAAUCUCUGUCUUCUAUAAAAUGGACAGGAAUAAGAGUCCUUAAUCACCAAAAUCACCAAAUCCCACGGAUCCUAUCACUGCACCCUCUCUUCUCCUUCAACCUUAUCCCUCCAUCUUAUCUCCUCAAACCUUCAGAAAACCAAAACCAAAUCCAACACAUCACAGCAAAAACCUCUCCCCCACCCCCAAAACACUAACAUUUGUCAACCCAAAAAAAAUCGAUCUUUUAAAAAAACAAAAAAAGAAAAAAUAAAGAAUAAAGAAAAUCGUAGCCAAUCAGAUGGAUGCCAACAGCCAGCAGGCCCAAUCCGCCUCUUACCCGCCACAGCCUCCCGCCAGUGGCGCCCCUGCUCCGCCUGCUCCAACCCCUUUCCACCACCUCCUCCAGCAGCAACAGCAGCAACUCCAAAUGUUCUGGUCCUACCAGCGCCAGGAGAUCGAGCAGGUGAAUGAUUUCAAGAACCACCAACUUCCUCUCGCUCGUAUCAAGAAGAUCAUGAAGGCCGAUGAAGAUGUUCGCAUGAUCUCCGCUGAGGCUCCCAUUCUAUUUGCUAAGGCGUGUGAACUCUUCAUUUUGGAGCUUACUAUACGGUCUUGGCUUCACGCCGAGGAGAACAAGCGCCGGACUCUUCAGAAAAACGAUAUCGCUGCAGCCAUUACCAGGACCGAUAUUUUUGAUUUCUUGGUGGAUAUUGUGCCCAGAGAUGAGAUCAAAGAUGAGGCUGGGCUGGGAGGGAUGGUUGGGGCCACGGCUAGCGGAGUGCCUUAUUAUUAUCCGCCAAUGGGGCAGCCGGCAGGUCCGGGCCCUGGAGGAAUGAUGAUUGGGAGGCCCGCCGUGGAUCCUACUGGAGUUUAUGUCCAGCCACCUUCACAGGCUUGGCAGUCUGUGUGGCAGACGGCUGCGGCUGAGGAUGGCUCGUAUGGAAGCGGAGGGAGCAGCGGGCAGGGGAACCUCGAUGGACAAGGAAAAAUUGUCCCAAACAGAGGAGAUGUUUUAUGUGUGUAUGAUAAAAGUUGACGGGUGGUGGUGGGGUCUCUUUAAGCUGUCAGAUAAUUUAAGUAGUCUGGAGGAGACCUGCCCUACAAUGUAUAUUGUCAAGCCGCGGAAAGUCCCACAUCAGUAUACAAGCCAACAAUUAAGCAAGUCAGAUGCUGUGGUGCACCCAGAAGGCAAUGAACCUCAGCUAAUACUACUUGGAUUUUUGCUUGCCUAAGAUUGUUAAUGUGCGUGUCUGCUAUUAUUAAUGGAAGCUGUCUUUGAUUGUAACGGCAUAACUAGAAACUUAAAACGUUGACUUAAUUUUGUAACAGCCAUACAAUCGUUGUCAUGACUUGCCUGAUUAUAAACUAAUGUGCAGUUUCUUGAUUUA